AGGCGGAGACUUGGGCAGCUGCC
rnacentral:miRNA from 1 species